CCUACGGGAGGCAGCAGUAGGGAAUAUUGCUCAAUGGUGGAAACCCUGAAGCAGCAACGCCGCGUGGAGGAUGAAGGUUUUCGGAUUGUAAACUCCUUUUGUUAGAGAAGAUAAUGACGGUAUCUAACGAAUAAGCACCGGCUAACUCCGUGCCAGCAGCCGCGGUAAUACGGAGGGUGCAAGCGUUACUCGGAGUCACUGGGCGUAAAGAGCGCGUAGGCGGGAUAGCAAGUCAGAUGUGAAAUCCUAUGGCUUGACCAUAGAACUGCAUUUGAAACUGUUAUUCUAGAGUAUGGGAGAGGGAGGUGGAAUGCGUGGUGUAGGGGUAAAAUGCGUAGAGAGCGAGCGGAACUCUGAUUGCGAAGGCG
rnacentral:rRNA from 1 species